CAGAGGGUAGUUUAAGAAGAAUUUCAGCUUUGGGUGCUGAUGGUGGGGCUAGGGCCUCUUCUCUGA
rnacentral:tRNA from 1 species